GCCGCCCUUGGGUGCCCCCGUCAGCUACGUCAUGGAACAGUCCACAGAAGCUCCGAUUUCACAGCAUACCUCCAGUAAGCGGCAGGCUGUGAUUUCACUCUGUGUAAGACCUCUGGCCUCACAUACUGUACAGUCACUGUAAAACAUCCAUCCAUCUAUCCAUUUUGUAAGAGUCCUUCCUGGUCAGGGUUAUGGGCUGAGGGCUGGGGCCCAUGCCAGGCCACACUGCACAGCACAGGGGAGCACCCCGGACAGGGCUCUUUGCAGGAAGAACCCAGAACACAAUCUAACACUAAGGAGACUUUAGGGGGGCCGUUAGCCAGACUGCGGGAUUUCAGCCCCCAGCCUGGGGGGAGGCACCGGCUGAAAGGUGUUACAGGCUUUACUGUAGAAGGCGCACGUCUGAUGUUCAUCGCAGGGCUGCAGGGUCUCCGGCCAGCCGUACAGCUAGUUCUCUAAUAUCCCGCUGAAACGGGGGAGGGGGAAUCCCAAUGGGAGGGGCCCCAAUCGUGAUAUCAGAGUCAAUAAAACCUGAGCUUAGAGAUAAAGUUUGGCUGCUAUUUGUUACUUUGCCGGCUCACUCUGAGAGAUAAGCACAGUUACAUGACAGUCCGUAAAAAAGCACUUCAGUGUUAAUCCCCUGGUAAUUACCAGAAUAUUCCGGGUUAUUAUUAAAGAUGGGUCUGGGCUCAGGGUGUUUGUGAUCUUCAACGAUUCCGAUCAUUUUCUCCGUGCCAGUCACCCCCAGUAGUUGGACCCCACCCACUCCAGUGUCAUAGCUGGAAUCAUACAUCUUGCGCAAAUGCCAGACGGGCUAUGAAACCGUAUUUAGCAAUUCUGAAGUAAGAGCUAGCAGAUCCUCAAUUCUGCGCAGCCCAGGCAGCUCCCACGCACAGAGCUGUCAGGCUGACAUGUGGCACUUCCUGCGAAGCCGUUUCCUUCUCUAGAAACUUGACCACUGCCUUGUUCGCAGGACCGAUGCAAACAAUGCAAAAGUUUGACCGGCGUCUUCUUCAGCUCAACUGAGGAAGUUCCAGGGCAUGAAGAGCAGUCAGCAGUCUGCUGUCUAUCUGUGCCCAGCGUGAUCCAGGUGCCCGUGGUACAUACUGUGGUAUAUCAUGGGAACUUUUACAAGGGGAACGAGCAGUGUGUGUGCAUAUGGGUAUAUGGCCGAGCAUUCGCUAAAGGUGCAGCUCUCUGAUGAGGAUGGACAGGAGGGAAGUGUAGGAGGAAGAGGAAGGGGGGGGGGGGGUGGGGGGUGUACUUCCUGGCCUCAAGCACUUUUUCCGUGGGGUUAAAAUCCUCUUUGGUCUGCAGUUUUUAGCUACAGAACAUGUUUCUCUUUGGGUAAAAUAACUUAUGUUUUGAUGUCCUAAGCAAAUGCUGUGCUUAAAUACAUCAGACAUACACAGACCCAGCCAACUGGAUUCUUUAAGUGGGGGGGGGGCACAGUAGCAAAGUGGGCCUGUUACUCAGCACAGCUUUAGGAGGAGAGGAGGGUGGAGCACAGUGGCCUACAGAUCCCACAGCAGAUGGAAACUUCUGGGCAGGUUAUCUGCAGAGCAGUUAAAGUGACAAUGGAGCGUGAAGGGAAUAAGUGGGAGAUGAAGAUCUGGAGGACACAGUUGCAAAGGUCAACUUCCACUCAGGGAAAGGAAGCAGCUAAAGGGAAGAGGGUGAAGAUCAGGGACAUCAGAGAAUGGAUAGAAAUCAGAGAAAAGACGGACAGGAUCAGAAAGCUGACAGAAUGACACAGCUCAGAUGGUAAUCAGGCACGAGCCCAGCAGUCCCACUGAUGAUGCUUCACGGAAAACACACGGCAGCAUGCGGACAAAGUUUUUAUUGGGAGAAACCGAGAGAAAAAUAAAUGUCUUUGGUCAAUUUGUAGUGAAGUCUCCCUGCAUAUUAAACCAUCAACCCUCCCCCUUAAGAUACAUUCAAAAAAAAAAAAGUCAAUAGUAAUCAUACCAACACUUAUUACGCAUUAAAUCCAAUCUUAUCCAGUACACUUGUGACAA